rnacentral:rRNA from 1 species
GAUGAACGCUGGCGGCGUGCCUAAUACAUGCAAGUCGAGCGAACAGACGAGGAGCUUGCUCCUCUGACGUUAGCGGCGGACGGGUGAGUAACACGUGGAUAACCUACCUAUAAGACUGGGAUAACUUCGGGAAACCGGAGCUAAUACCGGAUAAUAUAUUGAACCGCAUGGUUGAAUGGUGAAAGACGGUUUUGCUGUCACUUAUAGAUGGAUCCGCGCCGCAUUGGCUAGUUGGUAAGGUAACGGCUUACCAAGGCAACGAUGCGUAGCCGACCUGAGAGGGUGGUCGGCCACACUGGAGCGGAGACGCGGUCCAGGCUCCUACGGGAGGCAGCAGUAGGGAAUCUUCCGCAAUGGGCGAGAGCCUGACGGAGCGGCGCCGCGUGAGUGAUGAAGGUCUUCGGAUCGUAAAGCUCUGUUAUUAGGGAAGAACAAAUGUGUAAGUAACUGUGCACGUCGUGACGGUACCUGAUCAGAAAGCCACGGCUAACUACGUG